UACGGAGGAUGCAAGCGUUAUCCGGAAUGAUUGGGCGUAAAGGGUCCGCAGGUGGCAGUGUAAGUCUGCUGUCAAAGAAUGAGGCUUAACCUCAUCAAGGCAGUGGAAACUACACAGCUAGAGUAAGGUAGGGGUAGAGGGAAUUCCUGGUGUAGCGGUGAAAUGCGUAGAGAUCAGGAAGAACACCGGUGGCGAAAGCGCUCUGCUGGACCUUAACUGACACUGAGGGACGAAAGCUAGGGGAGCGAAUGGG
rnacentral:rRNA from 1 species